rnacentral:rRNA from 1 species
UACGUAGGGUGCGAGCGUUGUCCGGAAUUAUUGGGCGUAAAGAGCUCGUAGGCGGUUCAGUAAGUCAGGUGUGAAAUCUUUGGGCUUAACCCAAAGCGUGCACUUGAUACUGCUGUGACUUGAGUUCGGUAGGGGAGUGGGGAAUUCCUAGUGUAGCGGUGAAAUGCGCAGAUAUUAGGAGGAACACCGGUGGCGAAGGCGCCACUCUGGGCCGGUACUGACGCUGAGACGCGAAAGCGUGGGGAGCAAACAGG